CCGGUUACAUUAACUGCUUCCAAUAUAUACGUGCACAAUUGGAUUAAAAACACAUGUAAAUAAAUCUAUUGAUGAAUCUUAUCCUCUAUUCCUUAGCUAAACAUAAAAUUAUUUAUAGUAUUAAACUAGCUUAAACACUAAUAUUAACAUUUCCUAUUCCAACAUGGUGUCAGAAUUUGUCCCAUUAAAUAAACGCAAAUGAAUUAAAACAAAUGAAUUAAAUUUAUAUUAAAUUACUUAAGACUAUGAAUAUACCCUAUUAUUGAAUUUAAAAUCAAAUUUGAACUUGCUAUAAAAUGUUCCCAUACCCCUUGACGCCAUAAUCCUAACUCUUUGACAUUUCCCUGAGUCCCACUACGCAACGGAUAUUCUCCUGUCAUUCGGCACCGACUUUCACAUUCAGGACAUCAAUAAAGAUAAAUACGGAUGGAAGCGAUGGAUCAGGCCUCAUUUUCUGACAAAAGUGACACGUGAAAGCAGAAGCCGACCGACCGACAACCCUGCACUGGGAGAGUUCGAUUGUGUGCACGGUGGCCCCAGCUUUACAAAGUCGACCAGUUGGCCCAAUCCGGGUGUGGACCUAGCCCGACCGGUUUCUUUCGUCGACGACGAAACAAUCGAUCCUGCGACCAACAUCGAGGAAAGAUUUCUGCUGCUGUAGCUGCUGCCGCUGGAGGGCGGUUUGAUUUAUGUUGCGCCAAAUCGAGCAAUCGUCGUGACAAGCAGAUGGAGACGCCGUUUGCUACUCCACCGACAUUGGAGGAAUAUUGAGGCCGGAAGUAAUGGCACAGAAACCAAUUUGUCCCAUUAAAUAAACGCAAAUGAAUUAAAACAAAUGAAUUAAAUUUAUAUUAAAUUACUUAAGACUAUGAAUAUACCCUAUUAUUGAAUUUAAAAUCAAAUUUGAACUUGCUAUAAAAUGUUCCCAUACCCCUUGACGCCAUAAUCCUAACUCUUUGACAUUUCCCUGAGUCCCACUACGCAACGGAUAUUCUCCUGUCAUUCGGCACCGACUUUCACAUUCAGGACAUCAAUAAAGAUAAAUACGGAUGGAAGCGAUGGAUCAGGCCUCAUUUUCUGACAAAAGUGACACGUGAAAGCAGAAGCCGACCGACCGACAACCCUGCACUGGGAGAGUUCGAUUGUGUGCACGGUGGCCCCAGCUUUACAAAGUCGACCAGUUGGCCCAAUCCGGGUGUGGACCUAGCCCGACCGGUUUCUUUCGUCGACGACGAAACAAUCGAUCCUGCGACCAACAUCGAGGAAAGAUUUCUGCUGCUGUAGCUGCUGCCGCUGGA